rnacentral:rRNA from 1 species
GGCGGGCGGGGCACGGGGGCAGCCNUAACACAUGCAAGUCGAGCGGAAGAANNAGCUUGCUUUUCUUUANAGCGGCGGACGGGUGAGUAAUGCCUAGGAAUCUGCCUGGUAGUGGGGGAUAACGUUUGGAAAGGAACGCUAAUACCGCAUACGUCCUACGGGAGAAAGCAGGGGACCUUCGGGCCUUGCGCUAUCAGAUGAGCCUAGGUCGGAUUAGCUAGUUGGUGAGGUAAUGGCUCACCAAGGCUACGAUCCGUAACUGGUCUGAGAGGAUGAUCAGUCACACUGGAACUGAGACACGGUCCAGACUCCUACGGGAGGCAGCAGUGGGGAAUAUUGGACAAUGGGCGAAAGCCUGAUCCAGCCAUGCCGCGUGUGUGAAGAAGGUCUUCGGAUUGUAAAGCUCUUUAAGUUGGGAGGAAGGGCAGUACUUAAUAUCGUCCGGCAGCGCCGUCGGAGGGGGGUAAANUCAAAAGGGCUUNCGGA